rnacentral:rRNA from 1 species
UCUGGUGAUUCGGCGCUAUGGUCACACCUGUUCCCAUUCCGAACACAGAAGUUAAGCGUAGUUGCGGCGAUGAUAGUCUCAUUGAGGCAAAAGUAGCUAGUCGCCAGAA